AAGGAUCAUUAAUGAUUGCGAAUGGUCGCCUUCGGUGCUGGCUCUUGCAAGUGCACGUUGGUGGCUUUCAUCCAAUACCCCUGUGAACCUUUGGCCUCUUGUUAGCUUCGGCUGGCAGAGGAUUUUUACACACUCGAAUGUAAUGAUAACUAUUGUCGUGCGCAAGCACUAAUGUACAACUUUCAACAACGGAUCUCUUGGCUCUCGCAUCGAUGAAGAACGCAGCGAAAUGCGAUAAGUAAUGUGAAUUGCAGAAUUCAGUGAAUCAUCGAAUCUUUGAACGCACCUUGCACCCUUUGGUAUUCCGAAGGGUAUGCUCGUUUGAGUGUCAUUGUACUCUCACACUCUCUGAUCCUUUGGAUUCAGGGAGCGGUGGACUUUGGGUGCUUGCUGCUUUCGUGGUGGCUCACCUCAAAUGCGUUAGUGCACCUCUUGGUUGGACAUAGUACGGCGUGAUAAGUAUCUUCGCCGGCACCUCGCAAGAGGGUGGCCGAUUGGGAGCUCUGUGCUUUCAAACCGUCUUCGGACAAUUUCUGACAACUUGACCUCAAAUCGAGUAGGACUACCCGCUGAACUUAA
rnacentral:rRNA from 1 species